UAGUUUGUUUCGGUAUAGGCCUGGUAAAAACUUUCUGAAAAUAAUCACAAAUAAAAUUUUUCUUUCAGUAAAAGUCAAUAUAUUUAUAAUAUAAACAAAAAUGCUUAAAGCUGCCGUUUGUCGCAGGUAAUGGAAAUGUACACCUACUUGCGGUACAAAUAAGAGAAGCGGGCUAUCGAAUUACAUCCUAAUAUGUUCGAGUUUACUUUGGUAACGGAUACCAACACAAUUUCUUUCAUAGCUAGCGUUCAAGCUCGACCUUGAAUUACACUAGUUUCGACAUGCUAUUGAUAUUAAGUAAAAAUUAAAUAGAUAAUAUAACUUAA